ACGUAUGGAGCAAGCGUUAUCCGGAUUUACUGGGUGUAAAGGGAGCGUAGACGGCUUAGCAAGUCUGAUGUGAAAGGCUGGGGCUCAACCCCGGGACUGCAUUGGAAACUGUUAAGCUAGAGUGCCGGAGAGGUAAGCGGAAUUCCUAGUGUAGCGGUGAAAUGCGUAGAUAUUAGGAGGAACACCAGUGGCGAAGGCGGCUUACUGGACGGUAACUGACGUUGAGGCUCGAAAGCGUGGGGAGCAAACAG
rnacentral:rRNA from 1 species